ACGCCAUGGUAAGGCGUAAGUCAUCGGUUCAAAUCCGAUAAAGGGCU
rnacentral:tRNA from 1 species